GAUGAACGCUAGCUACAGGCUUAACACAUGCAAGUCGAGGGACCGGCGCACGGGUGAGUAACACGUAUCCAACCUGCCCUUUACUCGGGGAUAGCCUUUCGAAAGAAAGAUUAAUACCCGAUAUAAAGGAUGGGGAUGCGUUCCAUUAGGUUGUUGGUGAGGUAACGGCUCACCAAGCCUUCGAUGGCUAGGGGUUCUGAGAGGAAGGUCCCCCACAUUGGAACUGAGGCACGGUCCAAACGCAUACGGGAGGCAGCAGUGAGGAAGAGUGGGCAAGGGGCGCUAGCCUGAACCAGCCAAGUAGCGGGAAGGAUGAAGGCUUAUGGGUCGUAAACUUCUUGUAUAGAAGAAUAGGUAUUAUAUGAAUAAGGAUCGGCUAACUCCGUGCCAGCCGCCGCGGUAAUAC
rnacentral:rRNA from 1 species